rnacentral:rRNA from 1 species
AAUUAUACUAUUUUUUCAAAAUCCUAAAUUACUACUAAGCCAUUCUAUACUCUUAUAGAAAAGUUAAUGUUAGGACUAGUAACACAGAAUUAUUCUCUUACAUGUAAGUCUAAAUCAACACGAAUAACUCUUUGAUAAUUACCCAGCCAUGAAAAGAAAGUAGCACCCCCCUAAAACUACAAAAAUCCUACUUACGUAACUGUUAACCAAACACAUGAACAUGAAAGAAAGAUAAAAAAAUUAGGAAGGAACUCGGCAAACAUAAGUCUCGCCUGUUUACCAAAAACAUCGCCUCUUGAACCUUAUAAGAGGUAACGCCUGCCCAGUGAUUUAAUAUUCAACGGCCGCGGUAUUCUGACCGUGCAAAGGUAGCGUAAUCAUUUGUCUUUUAAAUAAAGACUAGUAUGAAUGGCAUCACGAGGACUUAACUGUCUCCCUAAUUUAAUCAGUGAAACUGAUCUUCCUGUGAAAAAGCAGGAAUAACUUAAUAAGACGAGAAGACCCUAUGGAGCUUAAAAUCUACAUCUACCUAUAUUUUCUGUUAAUAAAAUACCACUAAUUUAUAGACUAGAUAAAGUUUUUGGUUGGGGCGACAAUGGAGAACAACUUAUCCUCCAUGAAGAAAAACUUUGAGUUACCACUCUUAGUAGUAGCAAGCCUAACUUAAAUUGAUCCAAAUUUUUUGAUCAACGGAACAAGUUACCCUAGGGAUAACAGCGCAAUCCAUUUCAAGAGUUCAUAUCGACAAGUGGGUUUACGACCUCGAUGUUGGAUUAGGACAUCCUAGUGGUGCAGCCGCUACUAAGGGUUCGUUUGUU